CUGAUUCUAAAAUAGAUCUUUGUUAAAAUAUUGUAUAUUCCCUGAAAAAGAAGGCAUAGAGCACAGCAGGGAAUCUAUCAAACUCUACACUCAGAGGAAACUUUAUUAUCUGCAUACUUAAAGGGAUACUCCAACCACCAUAACCACUUCUGCUUUUAGAAGUGGUCAUGGUGAUAGAAGUUAUGUGCAUCAUUUCAUCUUGAAACACUAACAUACUGAGAUUUUUGCACUUGUGUACCGGGACUUUGUUACACCACCAACACACAUG